AGGCUGCUACUAAUAAAAAAAUAGUGAUACACUGCUUUAUACUUUCGUAUGGACUAGUGAAACCUGCUUAUUUUGAAGUUCACAUCCUUCUGUCUGUGUAAAAUUGGGAUGAGAAGUUGAGGCUGCUACUAAUAAAAAAAUAGUGAUACACUGCUUUAUACUUUCGUAUGGACUAGUGAAACCUGCUUAUUUUGAAGUUCACAUCCUUCUGUCUGUGUAAAAUUGGGAUGAGAAGUUGUGGCUGCUACUAAUUAAAAAAAAAAAAUGUUGUGAUCAAUUGAUGCAUUAAUGUUGUGUUGAAGUUGAUAGAAAAAACUCCAAGCUGAGAAAUGCAAUUUAAUUAUUUUUUUCUUGCUUCAUUAAUGUUUGAUUCCUUGUUGGAUGUAUUUGUCUGGUUUAUUAGACGUGUGUUUUGAUAUCAAUCUGGUUUAUAGUUUUCUUCAUGUGCUGUUGACUACUGUUGUUGCAGCUACUGUUCUUGAUGAAGAAGCUCCUGG
rnacentral:misc_RNA from 1 species